ensembl:lncRNA
GAACCUCCGGUGCAAGAGUAAAGAGUCGCUGGAAUCUGAGUCGUCCAAUCAGACGAGCGGGUACCAGUCUGGGUACCACUCUGAUGAUGCAGAGCGAGGAGAGGAUCCUAUCUACGCCAACGAGGAGAUGAUCCUGAAGAGGGACCCAAUGAAAAGGCCACUGCCCAAGCCUGCUGAGAAAUUUAGCAUGGAUGUACGUUACAGUGCACCGCCUGUUUAGCAUUUAGCUUUCAGAAACAGAAUUCAACAACUUUCAAAGCAAUAAAAUAACACCCUUCACAAAAGCCCUUAAUGUGAUCGCUUAAACCAAUAAGUCAAUAAGCCAACAAUUGAAUUCAAGGAGUGGACAAGCGUGUAACUGUGAUGAUGUGAUUUGUGCAGUCCUUUCUGUUGCCUAGCGAUAAGGCUGGAAGAAAUGAGCGACAAAGCUAUCUAUGAAAAAAAUGACACCUUGUGGAUCCAGGAAUAGUGUUGCCUUUUCUUUGUCUUUCCUUUUUCCACAUAAUUACGUAAUAAGCUAUAAGAUAUUCUGAAACGAAAUAGAAGUGCCUAAGUCCAAUUUUAAAACCCUGGGAUAAUGGCAUCAUUUUUGCAUUUAACUACUCAAAAAUAUUGAGGUCUUUCAAUCAGCCAGCUGUUUUACCCAAACACAGAACUGUCUCUAGGUUAGCCGGUUGCUAAUGUUUUAGAUAUGAGAAACUGAGGUUUUUCUUGGAAUAGAAAGCAAACGCAACACAAUGUAACUCGUGUUCCCUCAGGACUGGAGCUCAAAUAGGAGAGCUUCAAUUCCCUGUGAACCUUCAGCUUCUGCUCAGGUUGUCCUUACGUCGAGUGCCUUGUGGGGGAAAUACCAGUCUGUGCCCUUCAACCUUCUUCAAGCAUGCCCAUGGCACCAGUUCCUAUUAACUCCCAGAUAUUGGCCAGACAUGCCCCCGCUUCCACUUGUUUACAGGGCAGUCUGUCUCCUCACCCACCUCUGUUUCUUUGUUUUGAAAAGAAAUGUGAUAUACUACAUGGGGGAAGAGAUUAUGAUUUUCGAGUGUGUGUUCACAGUCAUUUCUUCUUUUUUUUUAAUUCUUUUUUUUUGUGCUGAUAACAGACUCCUUUUUUUUGUGUGAGUCUUAGAAGUGUAAUCGUGUUUGUGCAGAAACUGGAUGACCCCAGGAGCCUGUUGCCAGGGGGACCCUCCCAGUUCCUGUGACACAGGAAAUAGCAAAUGGAAUGUGAGACAAUCGAGUGAGCAAAUGUUUUCUUUCCCCAUUUUUCUCCGCCUUUUUUUCUCCUCUCCUCUCAAUUGUGUUUAAUAGAGGCAUGGGUUGCCUUUGUCUCUCCGGACUCAGAUCACGAAAUGACAUCAUGUUGAGGGCUUUUCGAUUGUACAGUUUAUUAUGAGAAUUUGUUUCCCUGUCGAAAAAUUCUUGUUUUAUUAUGCUUAUUCUAUUAUUGUUAUUAUUAUUGUUGUUAUUUACUGAUCUUGUAAAAAAAUUAACUAGUUUUAUAAAAAUAAACAUAUUUGCUGAUCAA